UCCGGGAAACAUACCCUCUUUUUCACAGAUUAGGAAACCAAGAUGGGAGUGACAGAGGGACCAGUACCUCAAAAUCCAGCCGUAAGGCCUCGGCGCAGGGGCCCUGAGCUAACAGCCUACCCUGUGCCUCACAGGGCCCCUCCCUGGGUAAAGUGCCCUCUGGAAUGUCCCCGGGGACUGGGUCCAAGGACUGCUCCAAAGUUGGAAUUCCUGGCCCCACCCCCUGCUUAGUACAUAUUUCUAUCUCCUGAGGGCCAGCCAAAGGCCCCUGGUCAUAGGGUACCACUGGAAAAAACUACAGGCUGCCUGCUUGCAGGCCCUUCCUCACCCAUGCUCUGCUGAUCCCGAAUCCCUAGGGGCCUUUAGAACACAGGAGGUUUGUGCCUGAGUGUGGAGUUGGUCCAGCUGUCUACCAGCUCAGCCUUUGGGGCCAGCUUCAGGCUGCCCUCUCGGGGCCCAGAGACAGCAAGUGAUCCAGAUUUAUUUUGUGCCCAUGAAUGUCAGAAGGGGUGUCAGAUCCCCUGGAACUGGAGUUACCGGCAUUUGUAUGUCACCCCGGUGGGUGCUGGAACCGAACCCAGGUUCUCUGCAACAGCGAGCCUAGAAAGACCCAGCUGGAGCCAACCUGAAAGGCUCCUCUCUGCCGGACGGAGAGCUUUCACAGCGCUGGGAGUGCUGCGCAGGCCACACUGUGGCUUAGGGCAAGGGGACACAGAUGUACCUGAGGCUGGAGACCAGUACGUGGAGGGACCAGGCUGGAGAAACAGUCCAGACCCACGGUGAACUUUGUGGCAAGCUGGCCUCGCACAGUGCCAGGGGUCAAAAUCUUUGCCUUCCGAGUUGAGCCUGUGGAACCCAGGGCAGCCAGGCACGAGUCUGUUGCCUCCAUCCCCUUUAAGGAUUCACAGAACAGUCCACGGUGGAUUCUGGCCUUUCCUUCUGUGGGCCACUCAGGCUGGUGUCAAGACUCAACUGUGUCACCCACUGAUGUCACCUGGUUGUCCUUGGAAAGUGACUGGACCUCUCUGAGCUCACACAGGUCUAUAAAACAGGAUUUUGAGACAGGGUUUCUCUGUGUAGCCUUGGCUAUCCUGGACUCUCUUUGUAGACCAGGCUGGCCUCAAACUCACAGCAAUCCCCCUGCCUCAGUCUCCCUGAGUGCUGGGGUUACAGGCACAAGCUGCCACACCUGGUUUAAGAAUGACAUUUUAAAGCAUUACAAUUUGUAAGACUCUGAGACUUUUAAAAGUUUAUCAAAUGUUUUAUUUUGUGAUGUUUAUAUUUAUGUGUGAGCUUGGGGAUGAACAAGAAAAAAAAAAAAAAAGGUUGUGGCUUGCCAGUGCCAAGUAGACAGAGGGACAGGUGCUGGCUGGUUUUGCAUCAACUUCACACAAGCUUAGGCAGCUAAAGAGGAGGGCGCCGCAGUAGAGAGUGGCCUCCAGAAGGCCCAGCUGCAGGCAAGCCUAUGAGGCAUUUUCUUAAUUAGUGAUUGAUGGGGGAGGGCCCAGCCCAUUACAGACCCUGCCAUGGGUCCUGGAUCCUCUAAAAGAGCAGGCUAGUGGCUGGGGAGAUGGCUCAGCAGUUAAGAGCACUGACUAGCUGCUCUUCCAGAGGACCCGGGUUCAAUUCCCACCACCCACAUGGCAGCUCAUGAAAGUCUGUAACUCCGAGAUCUGACCCCUCACACAAACAUACCUGCAGGCAAAACACCGACGUUAAAAGAGAAAUAAAAAUUAAAAAAAGAAAGAAAGCAGGCUAGCUGGACAGAGCGGUGCACGCCUUUAACAGCCACGUGGCUGUCACAGACAACUCUAGUUCAGGGGAUCCAGGAGAUCCUUCUGGCUUCCACAGGCACCUGCACCAGGUGAACAAGUGGUGCACAGACACACACGCAGGCAAAGCACUCACACACACA